rnacentral:rRNA from 1 species
GGGGAUAAUACCCUAUAGGUUACAGAUGCUGGAAUGCUCUGUAACCCAAAGUUCCGGCGCCCUAGGAUGGAUCUGCGGCCGAUUAGGUUGUUGUUGGGGUAAUGGCCCAACAAGCCAGUAAUCGGUACGGGUUGUGGGAGCAAGAGCCCGGAGUUGGAUUCUGAGACACGAAUCCAGGCCCUACGGGGCGCAGCAGGCGCGAAAACUUUACAAUGCGGGCAACCGUGAUAAGGGAACCUCGAGUGCCUGUAAAUGCAGGCUGUUCAGGUGCCUAAAACACACCUGAAGAAAGGGCCGGGCAAGACCGGUGCCAGCCGCCGCGGUAAUACCGGCGGCUCGAGUGGUGGCCGCUUUUAUUGGGCUUAAAGCGUUCGUAGCUGGGUUGUUAAGUCUCUUGGGAAAUCUGGCGGCUUAACCGUCAGGCGUCUAAGGGAUACUGGCAAUCUUGGAACCGGGAGAGGUGAGGGGUACUUCGGGGGUAGGAGUGAAAUCCUGUAAUCCUCGAGGGACCACCUGUGGCGAAGGCGCCUCACCAGAACGGCUUCGACAGUGAGGGACGAAAGCUGGGGGAGCAAACCGGAUUAGAUACCCGGGUAGUCCCAGCCGUAAACUAUGCGCGUUAGGUGUAUCGGUGACCACGAGUUACCGAGGUGCCGAAGGGAAACCGUGAAACGUGCCGCCUGGGAAGUACGGUCGCAAGGCUGAAACUUAAAGGAAUUGGCGGGGGAGCACCACAACAGGUAGAGCCUGCGGU